UUACGGCCAUAUCACGUUGAACACCGGUUCCCGUACGAUCACCAAAGUUAAGUAUCAUCAAACCUAGCCAGUACCAAGAUGGGAGAUCGCUUGGGAAUAACAAAUGCUGUAA